AGCGGUGUAGCUUAACGGAUAGAGCCUCCACGAUCUUCUUACCGUCUUUCAGUCUGACGACGGAGACAGUAGGCGUGGGGAGAUGCGGGUUCAAGUCCCGCCGCCGCAG
rnacentral:tRNA from 1 species